UGGCGCUCUGCAACAAGCAG
rnacentral:misc_RNA from 1 species